CACGUAGGCACCAAGCGUUGUCCGGAUUUAUUGGGCGUAAAGAGCUCGUAGGCGGUUCAGUAAGUCGGGUGUGAAAACUUUGGGCUUAACCCAAAGCGUGCAUCUGAUACUGCUGUGACUUGAGUUCGGUAGGGGAGUGGGGAAUUCCUAGUGUAGCGGUGAAAUGCGUAGAGAUCGGGAGGAACACCUGUGGCGAAGGCGGCCCCCUGGGCCGGCCCUGACACUGAGACGCGAAGGCGUGGGGAGCGAACGGG
rnacentral:rRNA from 1 species